rnacentral:rRNA from 1 species
ACGGAAGGCAGCAGUGGGGAAUAUUGCACAAUGGGGGAAACCCUGAUGCAGCGACGCCGCGUGAAGGAUGAAGUAUUUCGGUAUGUAAACUUCUAUCAGCAGGGAAGAUAGUGACGGUACCUGACUAAGAAGCUCCGGCUAAAUACGUGCCAGCAGCCGCGGUAAUACGUAUGGAGCAAGCGUUAUCCGGAUUUACUGGGUGUAAAGGGUGCGCAGGUGGCAGAGCAAGUCAGAAGUGAAAACCCGGGGCUCAACUCCGUGGAUUGCUUUUGAAACUGUUUUGCUAGAGUCCAGGAGAGGCAAGCGGAAUUCCUAGUGUAGCGGUGAAAUGCGUAGAUAUUAGGAGGAACACCAGUGGCGAAGGCGGCUUGCUGGACUGGAACUGACACUGAGGCACGAAAGCGUGGGGAGCAAACAGGAUUAGAUACCCUGGUA